CCAAAAGCUCUUUUCAGAGCCACCCACUUGCCUCAGAAAAAGAGCU
rfam:Monodelphis domestica chromosome 8, whole genome shotgun sequence.